rnacentral:rRNA from 1 species
CAGUAGCCGCGGUAAUACGUAGGGUGCGAGCGUUAAUCGGAAUUACUGGGCGUAAAGCGUGCGCAGGCGGUUUUGUAAGACAGGCGUGAGAUCCCCGGGCUCAACCUGGGAAUGGCGCUUGUGACUGCAAAGCUAGAGUGCGGCAGAGGGGGAUGGAAUUCCGCGUGUAGCAGUGAAAUGCGUAGAUAUGCGGAGGAACACCGAUGGCGAAGGCAAUCCCCUGGGCCUGCACUGACGCUCAUGCACGAAAGCGUGGGGAGCAAACAGGAUUAGAUACCCCAGUAGUCCCUGUCUCUUAUAC